rnacentral:rRNA from 1 species
CCAGCAGCUGCGGUAAUUCCUACGUGGCUGAUGAUCGUGGUGAUGUUCGUGGUUGCCAUGAGUGGUGGGGCGGCACUGGGGGUUGCGGUCGAAAGAUUCGCGUAUCGGCCUUUGCGAAAAUCCCGGCGGCUCGCUGCCCUCAUCUCGGCACUCGGCGUUUCGCUAUUCCUACAAAGCGCUGCUCUCUUGCUGUUCGGUGCUCGCGUUCGCUUGUACGACACCGGUCAGUUCAUCAACUUGCGUGAGGGAUUCAGCAUUGGAUCCAUCCGCAUCGAUAUCACUGAAAUCAUGGUCGUAGUGGGUUCGCUCCUGCUCAUGGCUGUCCUGUGGAUCCUCGUCAAUCGAACCCAACUCGGCAGGUCGAUGCGCGCGGUGGCUGUCGAU